GACGAACGCUGGCGGCGUGCCUAAUACAUGCAAGUUGAGCGCUGAAGGUUGGUACUUGUACCAACUGGAUGAGCAGCGCACGGGUGAGUAACGCGUGGGGAAUCUGCCUUUGAGCGGGGGACAACAUUUGGAAACGAAUGCUAAUACCGCAUAAAAACUUUAAACACAAGUUUUAAGUUUGAAAGAUGCAAUUGCAUCACUCAAAGAUGAUCCCGCGUUGUAUUAGCUAGUUGGUGAGGUAAAGGCUCACCAAGGCGAUGAUACAUAGCCGACCUGAGAGGGUGAUCGGCCACAUUGGGACGGAGACACGGCCCAAACGCCUACGGGAGGCAGCAGUAGGGAAUCGUCGGCAAGGGACGAAAGUCUGACCGAGCAACGCCGCGUGAGUGAAGAAGGUUGUCGGAUCGUAAAACUCUGUUGGUAGAGAAGAACGUUGGUGAGAGUGGAAAGCUCAUCAAGUGACGGUAACUACCCAGAAAGGGACGGCUAACUACGUG
rnacentral:rRNA from 1 species